AACGUAGGUGGCAAGCGUUAUCCGGAUUUACUGGGCGUAAAGGGUGUGCAGGCGGGGUUGCAAGUGGUGUAUGAAAUCUCCCGGCUUAACCGGGAGGGGUUAUGCCAGACUGCAAUUCUAGAGGACGAGAGAGGGGGGUGGAAUUCCGGGUGUAGUGGUGAAAUGCGCAGAUAUCAGGAGGAACACCGAUGGCGAAGGCAGGUCUCUGGGCCACUACUGACGCUGAGAAGCGAAAGCGUGGGGAGCGAACAGG
rnacentral:rRNA from 1 species